CAGCAGCCGCGGUAAUACGGAGGGUGCAAGCGUUAUCCGGAUUCACUGGGUUUAAAGGGUGUGUAGGCGGGUUUUUAAGUCAGCGGUGAAAUCUCUGAGCUCAACUCAGAAACUGCCAUUGAUACUAUUGACCUUGAAUAUCGUUGAGGUAGGCGGAAUAUGUCAUGUAGCGGUGAAAUGCUUAGAUAUGACAUAGAACACCGAUUGCGAAGGCAGCUUGCUAAACGAUUAUUGACGCUGAGGCACGAAAGCGUGGGGAUCAAACAGGAUUAGAUACCCCGGUAGUCCCUGUCUCUUAUAA
rnacentral:rRNA from 1 species